GACGAAGGUGGCAACCGUUGUUCGGAAUCACUGGGCAUAAAGAGCACGUAGGCGGGAAUGUAAGUCGGGUGUGAAAUCCCUCGGCCCAACCGAGGAACUGCGCCCGAUACUGCAUACCUUGAGGGCAGGAGGGGAGCGUGGAAUUCCUGGUGGAGCGGUGAAAUGCGUUGAUAUCAGGAGGAACACCGGCGGCGAAGGCGACGCUCUGGCCUGCUUCUGACGCUGAGGUGCGAAAGCCAGGGGAGCAAACGGG
rnacentral:misc_RNA from 1 species